rnacentral:miRNA from 1 species
UUUUGAUUGCACGAUAACGUCA